UAAUACGGAGGGUGCAAGCGUUAUCCGGAUUUAUUAGGUUUAAAGGGUUCGCAGGCGGAAUUUUAAGUCAGUGGUGAAAGCCUAUAGCUCAACUAUAGAACUGCCAUUGAAACUGAAAUUCUUGAGUAUAGAUGAAGUGGGCGGAAUAUGUCAUGUAGCGGUGAAAUGCAUAGAUAUGACAUGGAACACCAAUUGCGAAGGCAGCUCACUAAACUAUUACUGACGCUCAGGAACGAAAGCAUGGGGAGCGAACAGGAUUAGAUACCCUGGUAGUCCAUGCCGUAAACUAUGAUCACUAGAUGUUGGCGAUAUAAUGUCAGUGUUUUAGAGAAAUCAGUAAGUGAUCCACCUGGGGAGUACGUUCGCAAGAAUG
rnacentral:rRNA from 1 species